AUUGAACGCUGGCGGCAUGCCUUACACAUGCAAGUCGAACGGCAGCACGGGGCAACCUGGUGGCGAGUGGCGAACGGGUGAGUAAUGCAUCGGAACGUACCUUUCAGUGGGGGAUAACGUAGCGAAAGUUACGCUAAUACCGCAUAUUCUGUGAGCAGGAAAGCAGGGGAUCGCAAGACCUUGCUCUGAUUGAGCGGCCGAUGUCAGAUUAGCUAGUUGGUGAGGUAAAGGCUCACCAAGGCGACGAUCUGUACCGGGUCUGAGAGGAUGAUCGGCGACACUGGAACUAGAACCAGUAGCAUAGUCCUACAGGAGGGAGAAGUGGGGAGUUUUGGAAAGUGAGGGCAACCCGGAGACAGCCUUGACGAGGUGGUAAAGAAGGCCUUCGGGUUGUGAAGCUCGUUGGGCCGGGAAGAGAUCGCACGGGCUAAGACCUUGUGUGGAUGACGGUACCGGAAUAAGAAGCACCGGCUAACUACGUGCCAGCCGCCGCCGUAAAAC
rnacentral:rRNA from 1 species